rnacentral:lncRNA from 1 species
AUUUGGAUAUAAUUUUAUUUAAGCAGGAAGAUCAUCCAUGGUUUUUUCCAUUCCUUCUUACCUCUUUUAAGCACUGCCACCAGAGUGAUAUAUUUAGAAAAGAUGGAAUCCUAUAGAUUUCCAUCCCAACCAAUGUCUUUCUAAUAAAUUAAAAAUAACUCUUGAUUCUUUUAUUCAGUACUACUUUCUAAGUCAUACUACACUCCCUGAUUUAUUUGCUAAUAUUUCACUUCAUUAAUAUUUAUCAAUUUUUCUGAAUUUAGGUAUCUAUUUUUAUAUUUCCAUAUAUUUAUCUGAAUUUCUUUCUGAUUCUAAUUUUCUUUAAUUCUCACUUAAAAUACAUACACUAUAAUUUCUCUGUUCUUUCAAGGGAUAUAUGUACCUAAGGAGAAGUGGAGUGGUUCUCCAGUGAUUUUUUUUUUCUAACUUGGCCCUCCCUCUUUCCUUUUCCUUUCAUAAAAAUUUAUUGAGCACUUAUUACAGACUAGAUUAUGAGUGUUCUGUGCUGAUUAAGGGAGAUCUGACCCUACCUUUGUGGAGCUUGACACUUUCUGAACAGAAGUAUCAGUAGAGCCUUGUUACUUUUAGCUAGUAUGGUGUCACUUAGUCUUCUUUGGUUGCUGACAUUUGAAAAUAACACUGAAGGAAGGAAGAAUUUGUUGGAAAUAUAUGUAUGAUAGCAAUGGAAGAGAGACUCAAAGAAUCAACUAGAGGCUGGCCAUGGAGCCUUGAAAGUAGAGAGAUUCAAAGUUAUCAGGAAGCAGGAACCCUUGCAUCUGUCCCUGACGAGAAGACUUGGAUCAGCAUCCUGUUAUUGAGAUAAAUAUCCUAUAACACUGCCAUCACUGGAUCAAGGGUCCAAGCUGUGAGGGAGAUGAACCACUCUCCUUAGUCUGGUCACAUGCUGCCUAUGGGCUGCACCAGAGCUGAAAGGCAAAUCCCUCUUGACUCUAGUGAAAGGCUGGUUUCUGGAUUUAUCUUCCAAAGAUCUAGCCCAAUGAAUGAGAGAACUUAAAUCAGGGCAUUGUUAGGAAGGGAGAAAAGUAGCAAAAGAAGAACUCUCCUCAACCCCAAACGAAAACUAAACCAAAAAAUGAGACAAAUACUCUCUAUGAUUAGUAUGAAUUUGAAAUAAAUCAAUGUAUGUAAUGACUUCAAAUUACAUCUUUAUUUCAAUUCCAUCUACCUCAUAAGGGAUUUGAGGGGUUUCAGUAGGAGACAAAAAUAAAAACAAAAUCACUGAAAUGGUAGAAAAGUAAGAAUCAAAGUUUGCUUUUGUGGAGUUCUGAUAAAAAUUUCAUCUGUCUUGAAAACAAAAUCAUAGACUUGGAAAAUAGACUCAUGGUUGCCAAGGGUGAGUGGGAGGGAGUGGGAUGGAACCCACUUGGGGUUAAUCAAUGCAGACUAUUGCCUUUGGAAUAGAUUAGCAAUGAGAUCCUGCUGUGUAGUACUGGGAGCUAUGUCUAGUCGUUUAUGAUGGAGCAUGAUAAUGUGAGAAAAAAGAAUGUAUGCAUGUAUGUGUAACUGGGUGACCAUGCUGUACAGUAGGAAAUUGACAGAAACCAUAAGCCAGCUAUAAUGGAAAAAAAUGAAAAUCAUUAUAUAAAAAAAGAAAAAAAUUUUGUCUGUCUUAUUAACAGCCAAAUCAGCAAAUUAGUUUUAUAUAACAGAUGCUCAAUAAUUAUUUACUGAGUGAACAUGGGGCAGAAAAUGGGGUAAUGAUGAUUUUAAAAAUAAUUUUUUAAUACAAUUUUCUUCCAUUUUUCUGGGCCUCCUGGGGAGGGAUCAGGUAAAGAAGACCUGAUUGGUGGCCUCUGACUUGCACAUUGAACAAACUUUAGCAAGUUACUAACCUCUUUCUGUCUCAGUUACACAUGUAUGAAAUUGGGAUAUAUUAGUUUACAGUAUGAUAUGACAGUCAGCUGAGAUAAAGAAUUGGAAGGCAUCUUGAUAACUUCAAGGUAAAAAUAUUGUAAUUGAUGAAAUCACCCAAAUUAGGUACCUUUUCUUGCUUUAUAAGAAUAAUUUUACAUUAAGACCCCAACUACAAAUUAAGGGCCCCUCUUUUAUAGAAGACAAAGCUUUAUAUUUUGUUUGAAUAAGAAUCAUCUCCAGAUAACUUUUACUUUAAGCAGCUCUGCAGGGAUAAAAUUGGACCAAAAAAAAUUUCUUAUGUGAAAAAGAUUGGGGGAAAGUAAUUAGCACAAAGUUGGUGAGUUUGUUUAUAGAAUGUGAAUUAGUCACAGCAAAAUGACAAAUUGAUUUACAGCUUAAGUGAGAAAAUUCAAUUCUUCAUUAAAAGCAUAUUCUAGGAGUUCCCACUGUGGCUCAAGAGGCUGACUGAAGAGGCUCAGGUUGCUGUGGAGGCAGGGGUUUGAUCCCCAACCUGGGAACUUCCAUAUGCUGCCAGUGCAGCCAUUAAAAAAAAGGAAAGAAAAAUGCAUCCCAUAGCCCAAUGAGCAAAUACCACUUCCUAUGAGAAAUAGUUUUUCUAAACCUUGUGCUUAUCAUGGAAUCCUUUUGGAACCCAUUAUUUGACUUCUUGCCUGGGAGAUGAAAACAAAAACAAAAAAGAAAGAAAACAAUAAUAAUAAAAGCAACAACAAAACUAGCCACACUCAUUUCUCCUUCUUGAAUGAGAAGAAAGAGGAUUUGUAAUUGUAAGAAAAAAGAAAGCAUGUUUAGUUUUAAACUUAAAACAGGACUCUGAUUGGUCUCCAGCAGUUCAUGGAUCUCCAGGACAGAAUCUUCAACCUUCUCUCUUUUAUCUUGCUGAGAAGAACUGUGACCUGUACACUGCUUGGAUUCUCAACAUAAUUAUAGUCAAAAUAAUUACUUCUUUUAAGUUUUCCCAUAAAAAUAUCAUUGUAACAUGUAGCCUUCUUUUUAUUUAACCCCAAACAUUCAAAAUAUUGACGCUUAUAAUUCUAAUGCCACACUUGUAUGUUUCUUUCACACCUUUUACAGUGAAAAGUCUGGCAGUAUAAUACACACUUUUUGAUGCCCAGUGUCUAAUAGUGUUCAAUAGAUCUGUUGAAUAGAAUGUGGAAUCGAAUGGUGAAAGGAGAAAACUUGGCAGACUUAUUAUUCUUACCUUUUUAAUAUCAAUUUGCUGUAUGUUAUCAGAAAGUUACUUUCAAUCCUGUUCAAUUUAAUAAUUACUAUUAAGCUUAUCAAGGGCAGACAGGACUUUCAAAGCAUUGUAGAGGAAAACAAAGAUGUUUGAUACACAGCUCUAUAUUCAAGUAGGUUUCAGACCAACCAGUGAAACAAGGGCUAGACUUCGCGCAGACUGUGAAAUUUCAGAAACUCAUAGUAGGGAGUAUAUUUAAAAUCACUGACAAUGAUAUGUGCAUAUUUGUCAAACUCUUUGAUACCUGCCAGCAUUUCGAAAAGCCUUUAUUAAUUGAGGAGAUAUUGAAGAACAACAAUAAAUCUUUCCUUAGCACAUUGAUACUUACGAGAAAGUUAAAAUAGAAUUUUUCAGAUGGAAAGAUUCUUUCAGAUCAUAUAGCCCAGUGCUUUAACUUGAUAAAGAACUAAGGCACAGAGAAGAUUCAUAAUUACACCAAGGUCACACAACACCUCAUAGUCAUUGGGAGACAUAGUCAUUGAAGUGAAGCUCAUAGUCAUUGAAGUGAAGCUCAUUAGUCUCCCUUUGGUGUCCAUAAAGAUGUGAUAUUUCUUCUAGAAAUAAAUGGGAAGGGAUGGUGGCAGCUGUCUCUCCUCUCAAGGUGAUAGGGAAAAUCCCACAACCUUUGUGGAGUCCAUCUCUGGUGAGGCUAUAUUAAAGUUUUCCCAUCAAAUAUCAUUGUAAAUAUAGUUUCUUUUCAUUUAACCCAGACUUAUUCAAAAUAUGGAGAUUUCUAGGGAUUGUGUGGUGUACAUUAUGCAAUACUACCUAUAAGUAAUACAAGUGUGUCAAUGUUGCAUAGGUGACAGAAUUCAGGGACCCCUGCAGCGAUGUAGUCCUUCCUGCCUUUAGGCCACAUUACUGGUGUCCUUGAGGAUGAUUUAGCUCAGCAGAACAAACAUUAAUGGAGUGUCAACUAUAUGCAUUGCAUGUGACUAAUAGGAGUCUCAGAUGAUCAAGGACAACUAAGGAGGAUUGCUCUGUGCUUGUAGUAGCUCACAUUUGCCUUUCUCAGGAGCAAGGCAUGUAUCUUCUUUCUCAAUCCAACUGCCUAUUAUACAUGCAUAAGCAGAGGUGGGUAGGUAGUCACAGGUGGAGACAGAUAGUCACAGGUGGAGACAGGUAGUCACAGGUGGGUACAAGUGGAGAUCUGGCUCUUGUCUUUUCUGCCCACCUUUUACAGGUGUAAUCUGAAGGCAUCUAAUCUUGAGCAAUGGUGGGUAAAUAGAUCUCUUAGGUGCAAAAUUCUUGGCAUAUUCUACACAAACAACUCAUUCUGCACAGAUUCCUCAGUGUCCCAGUGGUAUUGAGCCUCCAUUAUCCACAGUGGUGAUCUGUUAGAUAAUGUACCUUUGAAGUGAUUUUCUGUCAUUCCCUAUUUUACUCUUUCAAGACUCCUACUCCUAUUUCCAGUUAUUAAUUACAAAAUAAACUACCUGCACCCAGGCCCUUAUCUCAGGUCCUGCUUCUGAGAAGGAACCCUGUCUGAUGAAGACUGAGAAGCAUAAAGCUUGUGUCUCCCUUAUAGGAGCACAUGGAGGAAGCAGGUGUUUGCUCCAUGUGGUAAGUAGCCUUAAGAACUCUCCUUUCUUCCCUCAUGACUUAUUUCUCCAAAGGCAGAUGUUCUGAGACUCUUAACACUAUUAUAACCUCUACAUUUCCUUUUUGUUCUUGCUGUUGUUAUUGAGUACGUCCCUUUAAGUGAAUCCCUCCUAAAUAUUUCCUCAAUUGAUGGAGAUCUUUCAAUAUGUUUGUAGGUUGUAAUGGGAUUGAAGAUACAUUGAUAUUAAUUUUCAGUUUUAAAUGUGCCAUUUCUUACCUCUUCUUUCACUCUAUUGUUCCCAGUUGUAACCCCCUGCAAUUUUUCCUGCUGUGCUCUUUUUCAGUCUGUGAAUUUUGGAAUGAGUGUCAGGUCUUCUGCAGCAGAGGCAGAGUGGGGGCUCCGUGUGGACGCACUUGAACACCAUAGAGAGAGCCUUUCCAGUCCACUUGGGAACAUCAUGGUCCUGUCUCUUCAUCUAGCAUAGGAGCUAUAUAUAUAUGUGUGUGUGUAUAUAUAUAUAUAUACAUAUAUGUGUAAUAUAGAGAGAUAUAUACACACACACAUAUAUAUAAAAUAUAUCUCUAUAUUACACAUAUAUGUAUAUAUAUCUGUCUAUAUUACACGUAUACACAAAUCUAUAUGUAAUAUAGAUAUAAAUAUAUAAGAACUAUUCACAUUUCAAUGAGUUUAGUGUCAAUUUAAAAAAUUAAGAUUAUAAUUUCUACAGUGGGGAAUGUUGAAACAGUACUUAUUAGAGCUGGAUACUCUACAAAAUAGUUUACAAAGUUAUGUAGAAUUCUAAGCAUGCAUAUGCUUAAUUUUAAGUGCUUUUUAAUAAUUGUGUCCCAACUUUAUUGAGACAUAAUUUACAUAUAUUAAAAUGCAUCUAUUUUAAGGGUAUAGCUAAAUGAAUUUUGGCAAAUGUAAAUACCUGGGUAACUGCCACCACAAUCACAGUACAGAACAUUUCCUGCCUUCCAAUAAUUUCUUCAUGUUCCUUUGGAAUCAGGGCCUUUCUCCACAGCCCCAGGCAACCACAGCACUGUUUUAUGUCAAUAGCAAUCUGUUUUGCCUAUUAUAGAAUUUAAUAUAUUUGGACUUAUGACUCUUUCAUGUUUGGCUUCUUUUGCUCAGCAUGAGGUUUUUGACAUUCAUCUCAGUUGUGACAUGCAUCAGUUGUCUUAUUUUAUUUUAUUUAUUUUAUUUUGUUUUAUUUUGUUGUUUCUUUUAUUGCUGCGCAUUUGAGUUGUGUCCAGUUACUAGCUGUUAUGAAUAUAGCUGAUAUAAACAUUCUUGUUCUUAUUUUUGUGUAGCCCCGUUUUUAUUUUCUUGGGUAAAUGCCUCAGGAAUGGAGUUGCAGGGUCAUAGGAUAUUUUCAACUAUUUAAGAAACCAUCAAACUGUUUUCCAAAAUAGUUCUACCAUUUUGCUAUGCCCACCUGCAAAGUAUCAGUGUUCUAAUUGCUCCACAUCCUCACCAACACUUGGCAUUUUCAGUCUUUAUGAUUUUAAUUAUUCUAAUGAGUAUGAAGUGGACUCUCAUCACGGUUUUAAAUACAGAUUUCUUUAAUGACUAAUGGUAUGUUGAAUCUUUUCAUGUUGUGUUUGGCCAUUUAGAUAGCCUUUUUGGUGUGGUGUACAUGCGAGUCUUUUGCUCAUGUUUGAUUUAUGUAUUUUUAGGAAAUCUGUAUCAUCUAAGUUGCUGAAUUUACUGUAAUAAAAUUGUUCAUAAUUUUUCCUUAUUGGUUCUUUAAAAGUCUAUAGCAUAAGUCAUGAUA